GAACGCACCGCAAGGUGAGUGGCAGACGGGUGAGGAACACGUGGGAACAUGCCCUUUGGUUCGGAAUAACUCAGGGAAACUUGAGCUAAUACCGGAUAAGCCCUAACGGGGAAAGAUUUAUCGCCGAAGGAUUGGCCCGCGUCCGAUUAGCUAGUUGGUGAGGUAAUGGCUCACCAAGGCGACGAUCGGUAGCUGGUCUGAGAGGAUGAUCAGCCACAUUGGGACUGAGACACGGCCCAAACUCCUACGGGAGGCAGCAGUGGGGAAUAUUGGACAAUGGGCGCAAGCCUGAUCCAGCCAUGCCGCGUGAGUGAUGACGGCCCUAGGGUUGUAAAGCUCUUUCACCCACGACGAUAAUGACGGUAGUGGGAGAAGAAGCCCCGGCUAACUUCGUG
rnacentral:rRNA from 1 species